GCCGCUGCCCUUUGCCUCCGCCAACACCGUCGUCCGUGCGCGCCUUCCUUUGCGUCCGGCACCACCGCCGUCCGCGCGCGCCUCCCUUUACCUCCGGCACCACCGCCGUCCGUGCCGCCGCCCUUUGCCUCCGCCAACACCGCCGUCCGCGCCCGCCGCCCUUUGCCUCCAGCACCACCGCCGUCAGCGCCGCCGCCCUUUGCCUCCGCCCCCACCGCCGUCCACACGGCCGCCCUUUGCCUCCACCACUGCUCCCGUGCCUCUGAUUUGGAUAGAAGUCCCGGCAGUAGUGGUGCGGCGGGGGCAGGGAGAAGGCGAGGGCGGCGGCGGUGGGUGGUGGGGCCUGAAGAUGAGGCAGUCCUUCUAGGAGGAUGCCGGGGACGGGCAGCGCGACGAGGAUGGUGCGUCGGAGUUGGAGACUGGAGUGUGCUCCAGCAGCGGGUGGAGGGACUGCGGCACGGUGGUGGGGAGCAACGGGUUCGUGUCCAUGGCCGGACCACCCUGCCAUUAAACUCGAAUCGUUGUGUUGGAACAUGUCAUCCCUCAGCUAUGGGAGCCGAUGUUGGGGGAGGAGGGAGGCCCUUGCUGGGAUUGCAUUAGUGUGGUGCGGGUUGAGCUGGAGCUGGCUCCAAGCGAUGUUGGUUCAGGAUGAUGUGUGCGUGCAUUGCCAAAUAAAGAAGUAGGCAUCCAGUAGGAAAAAUAUUCAUCGAAGUUCUCAAGUUGAAGUCAAAUUGACCAGCUACGUUUCAAAGUAUGAGAUGUGGCUCGACAGUAUUUAUAUCGCCAAUGGCAAGCGCACCAAGUUCACUAAAAGCAACAAGCAGGGCAGGGUCAAAGUCAUUAUGUUCACCAUGAUGCAGAUUGCCAUCACAUUCAGACCCAAAGAUCUAGGAACUAUGAACUUGAUUAAAAGGGCAGGGUCAAAGUCAAGACCCGGGUUAGUGGCGACGAUGAUGGUGGCCUGCAGGCUAUGGGUCUAGCAGCGUUGCAGGCAGUAGUGUGCAGCAUUUUACGGUAGGGCGUGUGACCAGUGAUGGAGGGCUCGCGGCGGCUGCAGAUGGUGGAGUACUGGACUUGUGGUGGGCACCCAUUCAUAAGAUCUACAACAUCAUCUUUGGGUCAGUUCUAUAUGAAGGCCAUCCUGCGAUAAAAGGUUGCGCCUUCCUGCUAUUUGGGUGACGACGCCGAGCCUGUCGGCCUAUGCCCAUCGCUCCUGAUGUGGUAAUGUGGCGGUCAUUGUUGUUUGCCUGCAGAGCCUGUGGAGAGGUGGGACUUGCAGAGUAUAUGUAGCAGAAAGGAUCCAAGUAUUGGAGCCAAACAACUGUCUAUGCUACCACAUCAAGGUGGGUUGAUGCAAAUAAAGUAAGGACAGGAAUAUACAGUAGCAGAAAGAUCAAGCAGCUUGGUUGCUCUUUCAUUGAACUGGAUGGAAGCGUGCAUGAGUUCUUUGCAGGGAACCAGUCACAUUUUGAAAAUGAAGCUAUAUACAACACUGUUUUAGGGAUUAAUGAACUGUUAGUAGCAGAGUCCUUCCUGAUGUGAAAGCUAAUACAUUUCUAUGGUAACCAUACAUCAGUACCUAUGAUUAAAUAAUCUUCUUUUUAUGAAAUGAUGAAACCCGAAGUAUUCUACGUAUGUCAUGAGCCACUUAAUGUGCAACUGAAUGCACACUGUUAUCAAAAUUUUAUUGGUCCAGCUGAGAUGUUUCCUUCUGGUAUUGCAAUUUGUGCGAGGUAAUACCCACAGUUUUUGUUGUGAUGUUACUAUGUCAGAAAAUUACAUGUCCACUGCAUCACUUAUUUGUUAUUCUCUCAUGUUCUUGUCUGACCGUUAUAUUUUUGCUCUGAACUUACUACCCCAGCUUUGGUUUCUCUGGCUUAAACUAAUCUGGAAGCAGGGUAUCAUGUGCCCGCUCACCUGUUGGUGCGGCUGGUGGAUACAGAGAGAUCAACGAUGAGGAGACCCUCGCCGUUCUUCCGAUUGCAGCCAGUUGCGGGAUGUGAUGGCGGAGUUGUUCUGCAACCGCCCAGGGGCCAUGGACGAUGGAGAACUUCCUAACGCAGUAUGCGAGCGAGGACGAUGGAGAACUUCCUGGCGCAGUGUGCGCGCGAGUGGGUUUCAGGACAGUUCAUGGUACAAGGUCAAGCUCAGACUGGUGGGGCACGAUCACCAUGGCCAACUUUGAGUCUUUGAGCCCAGCAUCAAGUUGGAAAGCUUUAUCUAAGAUGUGUUUUUUAGCUGUGCCCUUUUAUGUCUUAGUUUGGUUUCUGAAUUUUCGGGCGGCGCUUAUGGUUUAAGAUCAAUACAGCAUUUUGCUUCAUUUGUGCUUCAAAGAAAGUUGCUGCAUAGGGACAUUUGAUGUGGUGUGUUUCAGAGAAUCACUUUAGGGUAUUGCAUUCCAUUCAGAAAUUUUGACAUUUGGACAGUGUGUACAAUUGAAAGGAAGAGCUAGAUAUGAGUUAUGUAGGUUCAGCGUUUCAAGUUGUUGACAAUUUUUUAUGUUUAUCCUGGCAGAAAAGUGGAGCAGCUGUGUUAAGAGGUUGAUUAAUUGAAGGGAAUCAUCCAAAAGCUGUUACUAUCUUUCAUGCAUAAAAAUUAUUUUGGAGGAUGCAUAGAUUGGAGAGAUUAUGGAUUGCCACAAGCUUAUGUGUGUCAAUGGUAGUUAUCUGUGUAUUAGAAUAUGGAUACAGGCUUUAGCCUGUUUUGAAAUAUAAGGUCAGGAGCCA
rnacentral:rRNA from 1 species